UUCAUCUAAGUAUACACAAGAAGGGAAUAGAAAAAUAGCAGCAGCUUGAAUGGGGACCACCUGACAUAGAAUUAGACAGCAGGGAAAUUCAGAUGACCUAGGGAUUCACUGAAUUCAAAGUCCACAUUUUACAGAUGAUGACACUGAGAUCCAGAAAAGCUGAGGGACUUCUCUUCUGAGGUGGACAGAAUCAAAAGAAAGCCACUCUCACUGGAUUUUGGAGGUGAAUCCUGCAGCUGCAUCCACCCCCAACGUGGAGCCUUGCAUACAUACACAGUCUACCAGGUCUGACCAGAUUGCCUUCAGAACGUCAAGCAUUUUUAUAAAUAUAUACGGUCACAUAUUUUAUAUUCCUGCUUUUUAUAGUGUCUACUUCAGACCUUCUUUACUGAAACACAAACUUCAAUGUCAGUGUUUAGAGUAAGUACUACUUUCCUGUUCCCUCAGUCAGCUCAUAAAUCUCCCCAGUUCCAGGCACCUUUCUUGCCAUUUGGUGCUCCCAGCUUCUG